rnacentral:rRNA from 1 species
GUGGGGAAUCUUGUGCAAUGGGCGAAAGCCUGACGCAGCCAUGCCGCGUGAAUGAUGAAGGUCUUAGGAUUGUAAAAUUCUUUCACCGGGGACGAUAAUGACGGUACCCGGAGAAGAAGCCCCGGCUAACUUCGUGCCAGCAGCCGCGGUAAUACGAAGGGGGCUAGCGUUGCUCGGAAUUACUGGGCGUAAAGGGCGCGUAGGCGGACAGUUUAGUCAGAGGUGAAAGCCCAGGGCUCAACCUUGGAAUUGCCUUUGAUACUGGCUGUCUUGAGUACGGGAGAGGUGAGUGGAACUCCGAGUGUAGAGGUGAAAUUCGUAGAUAUUCGGAAGAACACCAGUGGCGAAGGCGACUCACUGGCCCGUUACUGACGCUGAGGCGCGAAAGCGUGGGGAGCAAACAGGAUUAGAUACCCCAGUAGUCC